UCCCUUCCUCUCUCUUUAUGCACUCAUUUAUGUCCCAUUAAUGCAUGUUACUAACUCCACUUCUUCCCCGGAGUUCUUGUGCUUUCUCGUCUCGCAGGUUCUCAUGGAUCCUGGUGGAGCCUCCUGCCAUGGUCCUGCUUGACUGCCAUUGCCAAUACUGUUGUUGCUGUGCACCUGUCUGUCUGUCUGUCGCUCUCUCUCUCUCUCUCUCUCUCUCUCUCUCUCUCUCACCCCAACUGGUCGAGACAGACGACCACCCACCUAGAGCCGGAGGAUCUGUCCUAGGUUUCUGCCUUUUAACAGGCAGUUUUUCCUUGCCCUUGUCGCCAAGUGCUUGCUCAUGGUGGUACUGUUGGGUCUCUGUAAUUAAUGUUAAAGAGUUCGGUCUAGACCUGCUCUAUUUGAAAAGUGUCCUGAGAUAACUUCUGUUAUGAAUUGGCGCUAUACAAAUAAAAUUGAAUUGAAAUUGAA